AUGAACGCUGGCGGCGUGCCUAAUACAUGCAAGUCGAGCGAACAGACGAGGAGCUUGCUCCUCUGAGGUUAGCGGCGGACGGGUGAGUAACACGUGGAUAACCUACCUAUAAGACUGGGAUAACUUCGGGAAACCGGAGCUAAUACCGGAUAAUAUAUUGAACCGCAUGGUUCAAUAGUGAAAGACGGUUUUGCUGUCACUUAUAGAUGGAUCCGCGCCGCAUUAGCUAGUUGGUAAGGUAACGGCUUACCAAGGCAACGAUGCGUAGCCGACCUGAGAGGGUGAUCGGCCACACUGGAACUGAGACACGGUCCAGACUCCUACGGGAGGCAGCAGUAGGGAAUCUUCCGCAAUGGGCGAAAGCCUGACGGAGCAACGCCGCGUGAGUGAUGAAGGUCUUCGGAUCGUAAAACUCUGUUAUUAGGGAAGAACAAAUGUGUAAGUAACUAUGCACGUCUUGACGGUACCUAAUCAGAAAGCCACGGCUAACUACGUG
rnacentral:rRNA from 1 species